AUUGAACGCUGGCGGCAGGCUUAACACAUGCAAGUCGAGCGGAGAUGAGGUGCUUGCACCUUAUCUUAGCGGCGGACGGGUGAGUAAUGCUUAGGAAUCUGCCUAUUAGUGGGGGACAACAUUCCGAAAGGAAUGCUAAUACCGCAUACGUCCUACGGGAGAAAGCAGGGGAUCUUCGGACCUUGCGCUAAUAGAUGAGCCUAAGUCGGAUUAGCUAGUUGGUGGGGUAAAGGCCUACCAAGGCGACGAUCUGUAGCGGGUCGGAGAGGAUGAGCGGGCACACUGGGACUGAGACACGGCCCAGACUCCGACGGGAGGCAGCAGUGGGGAAUAUUGGACAAUGGGGGGAACCCUGAUCCAGCCAUGCCGCGUGUGUGAAGAAGGCCUUAUGGUUGUAAAGCACUUUAAGCGAGGAGGAGGCUACUGAGACUAAUACUCUUGGAUAGUGGACGUUACUCGCAGAAUAAGCACCGGCUAACUCUGUGCCAGCCGCCGCGGUAACAC
rnacentral:rRNA from 1 species